rnacentral:rRNA from 1 species
CCUACGGGAGGCUGCAGUCGAGAAUCAUUCACAAUGGGGGAAACCCUGAUGGUGCGACGCCGCGUGGGGGAAUGAAGGUCUUCGGAUUGUAAACCCCUGUCAUGUGGGAGCAAAUUAAAAAGAUAGUACCACAAGAGGAAGAGACGGCUAACUCUGUGCCAGCAGCCGCGGUAAUACAGAGGUCUCAAGCGUUGUUCGGAAUCACGGGGCGUAAAGCGUGCGUAGGCUGUUUCGUAAGUCGUGUGUGAAAGGUGCGGGCUCAACCCGCGGACGGCACAUGAUACUGCGAGACUAGAGUAAUGGAGGGGGAACCGGAAUUCUCGGUGUAGCAGUGAAAUGCGUAGAUAUCGAGAGGAACACUCGUGGCGAAGGCGGGUUCCUGGACAUUAACUGACGCUGAGGCACGAAGGCCAGGGGAGCGAAAGGGAUUAGAUACCCGGGUAGUC